rnacentral:rRNA from 1 species
GUUUACAGUCAUGCCACCCUGAACAAGCCCGAUGUCUGAUCUCGGAAGCUAAGCAGGGUUGGGCCUGCUUAGUACUUGGAUGGAGACCAACUAGGAAGACCAGAUGUUGUAGGCA